GAGCUCACUCUUGGAAUCGCGAUGGCGAUGGCGACGGUAAUCCCUGUGGUCACGCCAGUCGACAAGAAUGCCGGCGCUGGCAAGCCUCGGUCAGGAAAAGAGAUCGAGCUGAAAGGAAUGGAGAUUUCAAGUCCCACUAUACCUUAUUACAGAUCGAAGCAAUUCACUUCAGAGCAGUAUUGAAAGCAAUUUCCCUUUGAACUGCAAGAUUGGAAUCGAAAGUUUUACUUUGAGAAGUUCUCCGGAAGAGUACCAAGCAUGAAGAGAAGCGUGAAUCCUCUGUUUCGUUUCUUCCCGAACAGAGAUUUUCCUGCACGGCUCGCGCAGUGAUACGAGUGAAGGAACCUCUUGAACUCUAGAGCUCGAGCUUGCGAUUCCAGCUUCCACUUCUUUCACGAUGGGAGUUGGAACUCCGAGCAACCACGACUUGGACAGACUUCUACGCUUUCGAAAAUCAACGAUUAGUAGGUGCUCUUAAACUUUUUGAUCGAUCGCUCGUGGAACCAGUCCAAGUGAAAAGAAUUGCGAGCUCUCUCUCUCUCUCUCUCUCUCUCUCUCUCUCUCUCUCUCUC